rnacentral:rRNA from 1 species
GGGCCUUUACGAUGUCGAUUUGGAGGCUGUGUCCUUGAGGCGUGGCUUCCGGAGCUAACGCGUUAAAUCGACCGCCUGGGGAGUACGGCCGCAAGGUUAAAACUCAAAUGAAUUGACGGGGGCCCGCACAAGCGGUGGAGCAUGUGGUUUAAUUCGAUGCAACGCGAAGAACCUUACCUGGCCUUGACAUGUCUGGAAUCCUGCAGAGAUGCUUUGGUGCCUUCGGGAAUCAUAACACAGGUGCUGCAUGGCUGUCGUCAGCUCGUGUCGUGAAAUGUUGGGUUAAGUCCCGCAACGAGCGCAACCCCUGUCCUUUGUUGCCAGCACGUAAUGGUGGGAACUCAAGGAAAACGGCCGGUGAUAAACGGGAGAAAGGGGGGAAUAACUUCAAGUCUUCUGGGCCCUUACAGCAAGGGUUACCCACUUGCUACAAGGGCCCGAACAGAAGGCUGCAACCUACCAAAAGUGAGCGAAUCCCAAAAAUGCCGUCUAAUUCCGGAUGGAAUUCUGCACUUCACCUCCUUGAAGUCGAAUCGGCUAGUAAUCUCAAAUCGAAUGGU